rnacentral:rRNA from 1 species
UACGUAGGGUGCGAGCGUUGUCCGGAAUUAUUGGGCGUAAAGAGCUUGUAGGUGGUUUGUCGCGUCUGCUGUGAAAAUCCGAGGCUCAACCUCGGACUUGCAGUGGGUACGGGCAGACUAGAGUGUGGUAGGGGAGACUGGAAUUCCUGGUGUAGCGGUGGAAUGCGCAGAUAUCAGGGGGAACACCGAUGGCGAAGGCAGGUCUCUGGGCCAUUACUGACACUGAGAAGCGAAAGCAUGGGGAGCGAACAGG